rnacentral:rRNA from 1 species
GAUGAACGCUGGCGGCGUGCCUAAUACAUGCAAGUAGAACGCUGAAGGAGGAGCUUGCUCUUUCCGGAUGAGUUGCGAACGGGUGAGUAACGCGUAGGUAACCUGCCUGGUAGCGGGGGAUAACUAUUGGAAACGAUAGCUAAUACCGCAUACAGUAGAUAUUGCAUGAUAUUUGCUUGAAAGGGGCAAUUGCUCCACUACCAGAUGGACCUGCGUUGUAUUAGCUAGUUGGUGAGGUAACGGCUCACCAAGGCGACGAUACAUAGCCGACCUGAGAGGGUGAUCGGCCACACUGGGACUGAGACACGGCCCAGACUCCUACGGGAGGCAGCAGUAGGGAAUCUUCGGCAAUGGACGGAAGUCUGACCGAGCAACGCCGCGUGAGUGAAGAAGGUUUUCGGAUCGUAAAGCUCUGUUGUAAGAGAAGAACGAGUGUGAGAGUGGAAAGUUCACACUGUGACGGUAGCUUACCAGAAAGGGACGGCUAACUACGUG